rnacentral:tRNA from 1 species
GUAUCCGGCGAACAUUACCUCUGACGCUGCCCUCCGAAGGCAGAGGCCAUAGGUUCGAAUCCUAUCGGGUGCA